rnacentral:lncRNA from 1 species
AGAAAGAUGACUAAAUAGUUAAUAGGAAAGAGAGUAGACACACAAAUUCAUUUAGUUGUAAGAAGUGGGAAUCUUUAAUUGGCUUGCGAGAUUAUUACUAGUUGUAGUGAAGGAGAAUUCGUUUGACACCCCGACAUUGAUUCAACAGAAGAGUUUAUAGUAUAUUAAACACCAAAAUCUGGUGCAAGAAUUUGUGCAACAUAUCCAAAGGCAAGCAAGAGGAAAACUCUUCAAAGGGGGCCAUCCUGACAUUAACGCG